AUUGAACGCUGGCGGCAGGCCUAACACAUGCAAGUCGAGCGGAUGAAGGGAGCUUGCUCCUGGAUUCAGCGGCGGACGGGUGAGUAAUGCCUAGGAAUCUGCCUGGUAGUGGGGGAUAACGUCCGGAAACGGGCGCUAAUACCGCAUACGUCCUGAGGGAGAAAGUGGGGGAUCUUCGGACCUCACGCUAUCAGAUGAGCCUAGGUCGGAUUAGCUAGUUGGUGGGGUAAAGGCCUACCAAGGCGACGAUCCGUAACUGGUCUGAGAGGAUGAUCAGUCACACUGGAACUGAGACACGGUCCAGACUCCUACGGGAGGCAGCAGUGGGGAAUAUUGGACAAUGGGCGAAAGCCUGAUCCAGCCAUGCCACGUGUGUGAAGAAGGUCUUCGGAUUUUAAAGCACUUUAAGUUGGGAGGAAGGGCAGUAAGUUAAUACCUUGCUGUUUUGACGUUACCAACAGAAUAAGCACCGGCUAACUUCGUG
rnacentral:rRNA from 1 species